rnacentral:tRNA from 1 species
GGCCUUCCCUCAGUUGGUAGAGCAUGGUGUUUGCAACGCCAGGGUUGUGGGUUCGAUUCCCACGGGGGGCCA